rnacentral:rRNA from 1 species
CGGGUGAGUAACACGUGGAUAACCUACCUAUAAGACUGGGAUAACUUCGGGAAACCGGAGCUAAUACCGGAUAAUAUUUUGAACCGCAUGGUUCAAAAGUGAAAGACGGUCUUGCUGUCACUUAUAGAUGGAUCCGCGCUGCAUUAGCUAGUUGGUAAGGUAACGGCUUACCAAGGCAACGAUGCAUAGCCGACCUGAGAGGGUGGUCGGCCACACUGGAACUGAGACACGGUCCAG